UACGAAGGGGGCUAGCGUUGCUCGGAAUCACUGGGCGUAAAGGGUGCGUAGGCGGGUCUUUAAGUCAGGGGUGAAAUCCUGGAGCUCAACUCCAGAACUGCCUUUGAUACUGAGGAUCUUGAGUUCGGGAGAGGUGAGUGGAACUGCGAGUGUAGAGGUGAAAUUCGUAGAUAUUCGCAAGAACACCAGUGGCGAAGGCGG
rnacentral:rRNA from 1 species